rnacentral:rRNA from 1 species
CUGUGAGCUCGAUGAGUAGGGCGGGACACGUGGUAUCCUGUCUGAAUAUGGGGGGACCAUCCUCCAAGGCUAAAUACUCCUGACUGACCGAUAGUGAACCAGUACCGUGAGGGAAAGGCGAAAAGAACCCCGGCGAGGGGAGUGAAAAAGAACCUGAAACCGUGUACGUACAAGCAGUGGGAGCACAGAGCAAUCUGUGUGACUGCGUACCUUUUGUAUAAUGGGUCAGCGACUUAUAUUCUGUAGCAAGGUUAACCGAAUAGGGGAGCCGAAGGGAAACCGAGUCUUAACUGGGCGUUAAGUUGCAGGGUAUAGACCCGAAACCCGGUGAUCUAGCCAUGGGCAGGUUGAAGGUUGGGUAACACUAACUGGAGGACCGAACCGACUAAUGUUGAAAAAUUAGCGGAUGACUUGUGGCUGGGGGUGAAAGGCCAAUCAAACCGGGAGAUAGCUGGUUCUCCCCGAAAGCUAUUUAGGUAGCGCCUCGUGAAUUCAUCUCCGGGGGUAGAGCACUGUUUCGGCAAGGGGGUCAUCCCGACUUACCAACCCGAUGCAAACUGCGAAUACCGGAGAAUGUUAUCACGGGAGACACACGGCGGGUGCUAACGUCCGUCGUGAAGAGGGAAACAACCCAGACCGCCAGCUAAGGUCCCAAAGUCAUGGUUAAGUGGGAAACGAUGUGGGAAGGCCCAGACAGCCAGGAUGUUGGCUUAGAAGCAGCCAUCAUUUAAAGAAAGCGUAAUAGCUCACUGGUCGAGUCGGCCUGCGCGGAAGAUGUAACGGGGCUAAACCAUGCACCGAAGCUGCGGCAGCGACGCUUAUGCGUUGUUGGGUAGGGGAGCGUUCUGUAAGCCUGCGAAGGUGUGCUGUGAGGCAUGCUGGAGGUAUCAGAAGUGCGAAUGCUGACAUAAGUAACGAUAAAGCGGGUGAAAAGCCCGCUCGCCGGAAGACCAAGGGUUCCUGUCCAACGUUAAUCGGGGCAGGGUGAGUCGACCCCUAAGGCGAGGCCGAAAGGCGUAGUCGAUGGGAAACAGGUUAAUAUUCCUGUACUUGGUGUUACUGCGAAGGGGGGACGGAGAAGGCUAUGUUGGCCGGGCGACGGUUGUCCCGGUUUAAGCGUGUAGGCUGGUUUUCCAGGCAAAUCCGGAAAAUCAAGGCUGAGGCGUGAUGACGAGGCACUACGGUGCUGAAGCAACAAAUGCCCUGCUUCCAGGAAAAGCCUCUAAGCAUCAGGUAACAUCAAAUCGUACCCCAAACCGACACAGGUGGUCAGGUAGAGAAUACCAAGGCGCUUGAGAGAACUCGGGUGAAGGAACUAGGCAAAAUGGUGCCGUAACUUCGGGAGAAGGCACGCUGAUAUGUAGGUGAAGUCCCUCGCGGAUGGAGCUGAAAUCAGUCGAAGAUACCAGCUGGCUGCAACUGUUUAUUAAAAACACAGCACUGUGCAAACACGAAAGUGGACGUAUACGGUGUGACGCCUGCCCGGUGCCGGAAGGUUAAUUGAUGGGGUUAGCGCAAGCGAAGCUCUUGAUCGAAGCCCCGGUAAACGGCGGCCGUAACUAUAACGGUCCUAAGGUAGCGAAAUUCCUUGUCGGGUAAGUUCCGACCUGCACGAAUGGCGUAAUGAUGGCCAGGCUGUCUCCACCCGAGACUCAGUGAAAUUGAACUCGCUGUGAAGAUGCAGUGUACCCGCGGCAAGACGGAAAGACCCCGUGAACCUUUACUAUAGCUUGACACUGAACAUUGAGCCUUGAUGUGUAG